UGCAGGGCUCAAUCUUGAGAUUAUGACCUUGAGAUAAUGACCUGAGCUGAAAUCAAGAGUUGGGAACCACCCAGGUGCCCCUGUGGUAUUUGACCUUUAAAAAUCUUGUGCAUGUGUUACUUUUUUUAUUUGAAAAAAUCAUUUCAAAAAGAAAUUAAGUCAGGUUUAGAAAAUUUAUUAACUUGUCUAAGAUCCCACAGCUCAUAUUCCAUGACAGCAAUCACCAGUAUAAUUAGAAUAGAAAUUCUUACAAAGAAUCAGGUUUUAGUAAGGGGUGUUGGAUAUCAUCUAAUACCUUCAUUGUACAAAUGAGAUAACAGACUCACAGGGGUAAGGUAGUCACCCCAAGUCAGGAUGUCCAUCAGAAGCAGUCCUCCUAAUCCAAGAUAUGCUGUUCAGAGUAGGUCACAGAAGAGGACUCUUGCCCCUCAACAAAGAGUGAGGCUUGAAUCCUUCCUGCAAAAAAGGGGAUUUAAGUUCUUCUAUGUCUCACGUAUCUAUACUGCCUACUAGUAGGGAAUGGGGCCAUUGAGCCUGAUGUCACUGUUUCUGUUUAUCUGAAACCAUGUAGCAAAUCUUCAGCACCUAUCUCAAUUUUUACUUCCAAGAAAAUGUCUCUGAUUGCCUUAAUACAUCCGUAUCCCUACUUGAUUCUUAACUCUUAUAAAUGUUAGUAUUUAAAGCACAUAAGGAGCAACCCGAGAAUGUGAGACAUCGUAUAGCUAUGUCAGUUUAUGAAUCCAUUCUUCCCACUAGUGUAAGCUCCAGGAAGACAGGAAUCGGGAGGUUGAUUCCAUGCAGUAGGUACACAAUAGAUAACUGACUGGAUUAAUUGAGUUGAAAAGUAGCUGUGGUAUGAGAUGUAAGUUGUUUGUUUGUUUUUUGAGAUGUAAGUUUUUCAAAAGGUUUCUCUUCGCCUCCCAGCAGAGAUGCCUACUGGAUCACAGAACAUUGAAAUUGUUGGAAGUUGUGACUGUCCUACCCCCCAGUCACCAAGAGCCAAAUGGGAAGUUUCACAAGAAUGUAGAUGGUCCGUCUUGGCUCACCAUUUUAAUCUCCGCACCAAGCCUGGUAUUCAGAUGGAAACAGAGGCAAAAAGAGGUGUGGUUCUUAAAGACAAAACUGAGGGUGCGCCUGGGUGGCUCAGUCGUUAAGCGUCUGCCUUCAGCUCGGGUCAUGAU